CCUACGGGCGGCAGCAGUGGGGAAUUUUCCGCAAUGGGCGAAAGCCUGACGGAGCAAUACCGCGUGAGGGAGGAAGGCUCUUGGGUUGUAAACCUCUUUUCUCAGGGAAUAAUAAUGAAGGUACCGGAGGAAUCAGCAUCGGCUAACUCCGUGCCAGCAGCCGCGGUAAUACGGAGGAUGCAAGCGUUAUCCGGAAUGAUUGGGCGUAAAGCGUCCGCAGGGGGCUAUGUAAGUCUGCUGUUAAAGAGUGAGGCUCAACCUCAUAAGAGCAGUGGAAACUACAUAGCUAGAGUGCGUUCGGGGCAGGGGGAAUUCCUGGUGUAGCGGUGAAAUGCGUAGAGAUCAGGAAGAACACCGGUGGCGAAAGCGCUCUGCUAGGCCGCAACUGACACUGAGGGACGAAAGCUAGGGGAGCGAAUGGGAUUAGAUACCCCUGUAGUC
rnacentral:rRNA from 1 species